AUGAUAGCAAUGGACUGUUUGUGCCUAGUCUGUCUAAUGCUCAGUGUAAGGGCUGCCUUCCCUGACUCAUGUAACUCAGCUGUCAAACCAACCAGCAAAGCAGCUGCUCUCACUUUCAGCAAACUCUGCAACUCCUCGCAGUCUACACUGUGCUGUCUGCAGCAAGGAUGUUGUGCCAGGGCUUGCCAGCACAACCUUGCCACUGCUGCACAGAUAUUAUCUCACCCUCCCCUGGAUUUUGCACUGGCAUGUGAGACUGUACUCUGCAGGUCUUGUGUGAUUAUUACCCUGGGAAGCGUGACAGCCAUCGGACCCAGAUUGGAACUCAUGGGCUCAUGGAAACAUUUCUUGCAAGGCUUUUCCCUGUUCUUGUCAUGAAAAUUCAGAAAUCCAAUCCUGACCUCAAACAAGCCUUCAGCACUGCCUAAAUUAGUGUGGACUACAGAUUUCUUACGUGCAAACUCUCUUACCA
rnacentral:lncRNA from 1 species